GGCGGCAUAGCCAAGCGGUAAGGCGAAGGUCUGCAAAACCUUUAUUCACCAGUUCGAUUCUGGUUGCCGCCUCCA
rnacentral:tRNA from 1 species